rnacentral:rRNA from 1 species
GUGCAUUCCUAUAACUUAGACUGCGCGUCGACGGAUCCCUGGUUAAGCGUGCUAUCUGUGUGGCGACUGUCGGACGGGUGAUUAAUACGUCGGAAUCUACUCUGUCCUGGGGGAUAACGUACGGAAACUUACGCUAAUACCGCUUUAUACCUACAGGUGAAAGCAGGGGAUCUUCUACGACCUUGCGCGAUUGAAUGAGCCGAUGUCGGAUUAGCUAGUUGGCGGGGUAAAGGCCCACCAAGGCGACGAUCCGACUCUGGUCUGAGAGAGAUGAUCAGCCACACUGGAACUGAGACACGGUCCAGACUCCUACGGGAGGCAGAUCUGGGGAAUAUUGGACAAUGGGCGCAAGCCUGAUCCAGCCAUACCGCGUGGGUGAAGAAGGCCUUCCGGUUGUAAAGCCCUUUUGUUGGGAAAGAAAUCCAGCUGGUUAAUACCCGAGUUGGGAUGAGGCGCGUACCCAAGAGAAAUAAAGCACCCGGCUAACUUCAUGCCACCAGCGCGCGAUAAUACGAAGGGGGCAAACGUUACUCAGAAUUACUGGGCGUAAAGCUUGCAUACUGUGGUCGUUUAAGUCCGUUGUGAAAGCCCUGGGCUCUAACCUGGGAACUGCAGUGGAUACUGGGCGACUAGAAUGUGGUAGAGAGGUAGGCGAAUUCCUGGUGUAUUACUGAAAUGCAUGUAGAUCAGGAGGAACAUCCAUGGCGAAGGCAUCUACCUGGACCAACACUGACACUGAUGCACUGAAAGCGUGGGGAGCAAACAAGAUUAGAUACCCUGGUAUUCCACGCCCUAAACUAUGCCAACGUGGAUGUUGGGUGCAAUAUUGACACUCAGUAUCAAAGCUAACGCGUUACAUUCGCCGCCUGGGGAGUACUGUCGCCAAGACUGAAACUCAAAGAAUUGACAGCUGUCACGCAUAAGCGGUGGAGUAUUUGGAUUAAAUCUAUGCAACUCGACGAGCUUACCAUGGACGUGACAUGUCGAUGACUUCCUAGAGAUGGAUUGGAGGCCUUCGGGACUCCCACCACGAUGCCUGCACGGCUGUCGUCAGCUCGUGUCUUGAAUUGGGUGGUCUAAUGCCGCUAGCAGCGCUAACCUUGUACGUAAGUUGGCGAGACACAAACUGGUGUCACCUCUACUGAGACCGCCGGUGACAAACCGGAGGAAGAUGGGGAGGAGGUAAUAGACUUCAUGGCCUCUACGGCCAGGAGUCAGCAUCUAUUACACAAGUUCGAUGAAAGGCGUGCACCCGCCCAAUGAUCGACCUAUCCAUGAGGUGACUAUGUCAGUCCGGAUCAUAGUCUGCAACUCGACUCCAUGAAGUCGGAAUCGCUAGUAAUCGCAGAUCAGCAUUGCUGCGGUGAAUACGUUCCCGGGCCUUGUACACACCGCCCGUCACACCAUGGGAGUUUGUUGCACCAGAAGCAGGUAGCUUAACCUUCGGGAGGGCGCUAACCAUGGAGUUUCUCCGACUGGGGGAAGUUGACCACUUUGAUCAUUCAC